rnacentral:siRNA from 1 species
GCGAUUUCUCGACACGUUCU